GGGGGAGUAGCUCAGUGGUAGAGCGGCUGACUGAAAAUCAGACGGUCGUGGGUUCAAUACCCACCUCCUCCA